AUUGAACGCUGGCGGAAUGCUUUACACAUGCAAGUCGAACGGCAGCACGGGGGCAACCCUGGUGGCGAGUGGCGAACGGGUGAGUAAUACAUCGGAACGUGCCCAGUCGUGGGGGAUAACUACGCGAAAGCGUAGCUAAUACCGCAUACGAUCUACGGAUGAAAGCGGGGGACCGCAAGACCUCGCGCGAUUGGAGCGGCCGAUGGCAGAUUAGGUAGUUGGUGGGGUAAAGGCUCACCAAGCCGACGAUCUGUAGCUGGUCUGAGAGGACGACCAGCCACACUGGGACUGAGACACGGCCCAGACUCCUACGGGAGGCAGCAGUGGGGAAUUUUGGACAAUGGGCGCAAGCCUGAUGCAGCGACG
rnacentral:rRNA from 1 species